AAUAGAGUUUAAAUUUGCUCCAAUGGUACUCUAUUUUAUAGUAGAAAAUAGAGUGAUGAACAAAAAAAAACAAAUUAUCUAUAUUUGGAGUAAACCUAUUUUUCACUCUAUUAUAGAGUAAGAAAUAGAAUGCCAUUGGAGCAUUUUUCACUCUAAACUCUAUUUUAGAGUGAAAAAUAAAGUGGGGUUGGAGAUGCUCUUAGAGAAAAAAGUACGUGUUAAUGGAAACUCUUUAAAUGGUUUGAAUUUCUGUAUUUAAAAAAAAGAGUAAAUUAGCUAAAUAUACUAACAAAGUUGGGAUAUCAUUGAAUGGGGGGAAAAUGGUAAUGUUGGGGGGAAAAAAAUUGGAGGGAUAUAGGGUAUGGAAUGUAAAUAAGAAAAAAAUGGUGUGUAGGGAGUACAAUUUCUCUAAAAAAAAAGGCUUUAUGAUAGCGUAUAUACCAAUCAAUAACUAAGCUGUAUGAUUUUUAUUAUGGUUACAUCCCCUGUUCGAAACUACGCUAGGCGCUAGUCGGGCGGUGACUCCGGGCCUAGCAAGUUACCAAAAAAUCGGGGAUUAAACGGGAAUUAAUCGGGACCUAGUUUUUAAUACAAUUUAAUAUAUUUAUAAUAUAUUUAUACGAAUAUAUGUGAUAGGUGAAUGUCUUAGCAUCGUAGGCCAGUGGUUUGGGACGUAUAUGAUACUGUAACAGGUGUCGGGUUCGAUUCACCAGCAAUGAAUCUUUCUCUCUUUUUUAUCAAGGCGAGGCUAAAAUUUUUUUUUAAGAAAACACAUGUAUUUGUCCCACAUCGGUUAAUAACAAGAAAGAGAAGUCUUGAAGUGCCUUAUAAAUACAAGUACCAAGCCACAUUAUCUCUCAGACGAAUGGGCUUUUGUUUUAGAGCCCAAUAUUUGUCAAAUGAGUUUUAAUUUUUACGCGGUUAUAAUUGGUUUUAAUCCGAUUUUUAAGCGCUUAGUCGGGUGUUAUUAGAUUAACCGGGUUUCCGAUUAAUGCCGGCGACUUGGUUGAAAUCGCGGCGGUUGGGUUCCGCCAAGCGCCUAGUCGGACGAUUAAUCGGCUAGGCGGCCGCGUUUUCGAACAGGGGUUACAUCAAAGUUGGAUGGUAAUGGCAUUUUAUGUAAUUAAUCUAGUGAAAGAAGGACAUUUUAUUUACGGUUAUGAGAAGGAUUCUAAGAAUGACACCUAAAUAAUGGCAUUUUGGUUAAUCACACAUGAAGGUAAGGUUAUUUAAUAAUAGUGCUCCUCAAAUAAUAUAAAAAGGAUAAUUGGGUCAAUGAUAAUUAUCAUUAUUUUACUAAAACUUGUUAAAAGUUUUAAUAUUAGUAUUUACUUCGUUUCAAACUUAGGUGAUGAUUGUUUUGCCAAUUUAUAGAUUUUGGUUUUUAGUUUUUUUUUUUUGGUUUUAAAUUUAAUAAAAUGAAAAAUAUGAUUAGUAUUAAAAAAAAAAUCUAUGUUUUUGUUUUUCUGUAAUAUUAGUUCAUAGAAAAACAUGAGAUGUAUUUUUUUAGUUUUAACUAUAUUUUAUUUAUUAUUUUUCUUGUAAUUAAAAUUGAUUAAAAUAAAAAUAUUACAUAUUAUAGAAAUAAUAGACAAUAUUAUCACCCGACAAGAUUAAUAUAAACAAAAAUCUAAUAAUUUGAUAUGUAGAUAAGAUUAUUAUUGUGAGUUUGUGUUUGUUUUAUAAAAUGGUUGAUGUGGUUUUAUAUAUUGAUGUAGUUAAUAACCUGUUAAAAAAAAAGUAGUCGUGGGAUGCAUUAGAAACCCAUAAAGAGGUCUGGUUUCCCUAAAAAAUAUGAAAUCUAUUUUACCAAAAUCUUGAUUAGAUAAAAAAUAGAUUCUAGAAAAACAAAAACCAAAAUCUAAUCUAGAAUCAGCAAACAAUCAACCGUGUUUUAGAUUUUCAAUCAAAAUAAAUUUUGCUUUAGUUUUUCAGUUUGAAAUUGGAAUGAAAUACUCACAGUUUAGGCUUAUCUAAAAUAGUCUAACAUAUCAUUCCGGGUUGUUUAGCUUGAUCUGACAGAAUUGCAAGGAAAUCAUUCAUCGAGAUAGAUUGGCUUUGAAAAUUUUCAAAAUCCAAAUUAGAGUUACGGUUUACACUAACGUGUAGUGGAAAAUUCUAUGAAAAAAAUGUUUACCGAUGAUUUUGUCUGAAAUAUGUAUUUCACUACAAGAAAACACAAGAUUAACGAUGAAAAUUAACGAGGAAAACUGGUCCUCGUAAAUUUACGUUGACUUUACGAGAAUCUUACAAGGAAAUUUACAAUCAACGUUAGUUCGUCGUAAAAUAACGAGGAAACGAUUUCCUCGUAAAAACCACGCAAGGUAACUUCGUUUUUACGAGGAAAAACUGUUUCCUCGUAAGCUCGACGUAAAAGUAGCAUCUUCUUUACGAAGAAAUAGUUUACGUUUACUUAACGAAGAAUUUUCGAGUCCACCCACUUUGUAAUUGUAACACGUUUUUUGUUUCGGCUACCUUACUAAAUUCCACAUAAUCAUGAGUAAUGAAAAUGGUGAUGUUUCUGGUAAUGACGAAAAUGUCGAUGUAUCUGACUGAUGUAUUUGUGUUUUAAUAUGACUGAUUUUCAGACUUAAUCCAUGUGAUUUGAUAGAUUUAAUCAUGAAAAUCUAUUUAUAUAAUUUAAUUUUAUGUAAUGGGGUUUGAAUUAGAAAGAAGAGAUUGAGAUUAUUAGUUAAGGAAUUGUGGUUUUAGAAUUUGGGGUUUAGAAUGGAUAGAAGAGAUUGAGGUUAAAGGGAGGAUGGGGUUGGGGUUUGGGGUUUCGGAUUUUAGGGAUUUAAACGUAAACAUAGUUAUUUCCUCGUAAAUUAACGAGGAACUUACGACGAUUCUUAAAAAUAAAGAACGCGGCACUCGUUAAUUCCACGUAAGCAGAAAUCGUCGUAAAGACCUCAUAAUAAAAAAACGCUGGCCUCGUUCAUUCCUCGUAAAAAUAAAAGCGGGCCUCGCUAAUUCCUCGUAAAUUAACGACGAUGUAACGAGGAAACGAAACGGGAAUAAAUUGGUUUGCCGUGAUCAAAGUUACACCUCGUGGACAAAUCAUCAGUGGAGAAGAACCACCAUUGCAAGAAGAACAGAUAGAUGAAGUUGAGGUACCUGAACAACAAAUUGAUGACAUCCUUCUCAUUGAUCCGCAUAAUCAUGAGUACGAAGAUAUUACCGACGAUGCCACGGACGAAGCUGUUGAAGACGAGUUUAAUGAAAAUGAUGUUGUUUCUAGUAAUGACGAGAAUGUCGAUGUAUCUGAUUGAUGUAUUUGUGUUUUAAUAUGAUUGAUUUUCAGAUUUAAUGCAUGUGAUUUUUAUGGAUUUAAUCAUGGAAAUCUAUUUAUAUAAUUUAAAUUUUGUAAUGGGGUUUGAAUUAGAAAGAAGAGAUUGAGAUUAUUAGUUAAGGAAUUGUGGUUUCAGAAUUUGGGGUUUGGAAUGGAUAGAAGAGAUUGAGGUUAAAGGGAGGAUGGGGUUGGGGUUUGGAAUAUAUGAAGUAGAAGAUAAGGAAGAUAAGGAAGAAGGGGUUUGGGGUUUCGGAUUUUAGAGAUUUAAACAUAAACGUAGUUAUUUCCUCGUAAAUUAACGAGGAACUUACGACGAUUCUUAAAAAUAAAGAACGUGGCACUCGUUAAUUCCACGUAAGCAGAAAUCGUCGUAAAGACCUCGUAAUAAAAAAACGCGGGCCUCGUUCAUUCCUCGUAAAAAUAAAAGCGGGCCUCGCUAAUUCCUCGUAAAUUAACGACGAUGUUACGAGGAAACGAAACACGGGCCUCGCGAGUUCCUCGUAAAUAAAAACACGGGCCUCACGAGUUCCUCGUAACUUUACGAGGAAUUUACGACAUUUCAUAAUUUCCUAUAUAUACACGCGAGUUCUCACUUCCCAUUUCGUCUCAACUUCCUCUCCCUUUUGUAGCUAUGGUACGCUCUCUAUUUCCUCUCUAAUUUGAUUAGUUUAGGUAGAUUAGGUGGUUAGUGUAGGAAAUUUAGAUAGUUUUACGGAUUUUAUGUUAAUUAGUGUUGAUUAGGUGGUUAAUGUAGAGAACUUAGUUAGAUUUAUAGAAUUUGUUAAUUAUUGUUGAUGUUAAUUUUAGGCGAAUCAUCAUCCGUCACACAUGCCGACGCGGAUGUAGAGAGGAGGAGUGAGGAAUUCUACCGGGGAUGAACGACCCUUAGUUUUUUUUUUUUUUCGUUGGUUGUAUUAUAAAUUCAAAAAUUAUUUAUGUAUAAAUUAUUUUCGUAUUUAAUAUUCUUUUUAAAUUAGAUUUUUAUUAAAUAAUUAAAUACAUUGUUUUUUUUUAAUCUGGAAAAUAUAAACUCAAAGUAAAUUCGUAGCUAAAUUACGACAACCUUACGUGGAAAUUUUACGAGGAAUUAACGAGUAAAAUAUUUACGUCAACACUACGAGGAAAGAUUAACGAGUAUUUGACGUGGAAACAUUUACGUGUUAUUUACGAGGAAAUGUUUUCAAGGUAUUUACGAGGAAAUGUAGCGUCCUCCUUACGUGGAAGGGUUACGUGGUUUUUACGACGAAUACUUUGCUUCGUCUUUACGAGGAAAUGUUUUCUCGUUAGUUUACGACGAAUUAGCGAGGAAAUAUGCGUUACGACGAACAAAUAACGACGAAACGUGUUUCCUCGCUAGUUCCUCGUAAAACUGAUUUUACGACGAACUUACUACGAAUUUCGCCGUCGUUAAUGUUGUGUUUUCUUGUAGUGUUUAUUCUAUUAAAACCGAAAUACAAAAUAAUAUUUAUCUAUUUUUAAUUGAUUUCUUACAGAUUUGCAUUUUUUAUACCAAUUUAACUAUUUCAUUUCUAUAAAUAAUUCGAUAGCAUUUAUCACAAUUUGUUACAUAAAUAAAUAAAACAGAAAUUGUAUCUUUUACAUUAUUUUUCACUUUUUUAACUAUUUUAUUAAUUGUUUUUACCAUAAUAAUUUGACAACAAUUAUUUUACAUGUUAACCAUAUUGACAUGUUUGAAUUUGUGACAAGAAUUCAAAACUCUUAAAAAAAAGUGUUUUUAAUUUGUUUACAGAAUCGGUUAUGCAUUGACAUUCAGGUCUCGGUCGGGUACAUAUGUUUUUUCAGGUAUUAGUUUAUUGAGCUUUGGAAUUAGGUUCCGCUCGGAUAUUACAAAUUUGCGGAUGGAUUUAAAGUUAGGUCCUCAGGUUUGGUGGGUUCGGUUCUAAUGUAUAAAAACCUAAAAACAUCUAAAUAACCAAUGAAUCUGAAACGAAUUUAGAUAUUUGUACUAAAAUUAAUCAUAUUACCUGAUUCAGUUCGUGUAUUUUCUAUCAAUACUAAAAAUAAAUCUAAAAAUAACCAUAUAACCAAAGGUAACCAUAUUAUCCUAUUCGAUUCAAAUUUGAUUUUGGUGUACAAAAACCUAAAAAUAUUCAUAUAACCAAUAUACAAUUAAUAACAUGGUGACAUGUCAAAUAUAUAAAAUAAAAACCAAAUAUUAAUUUGUUAAAGGAUUUUUGUGUAGGAUUUUUGUGAAUACCACAGAACGAUGGAUGAGGCUAGUGUUUCGUAUUGAUAUGCAAGUAAUAAGGUAGAAAGAGACGUUUUAUUAGACCAAAGAUCUAGAACUACAAUAGAUUGGUGUAUAAACCCUAGUUCUAGCCGCCUAGCUCUAAUCUCUAAGUCUCCAAGUGUCGAUUCUUUGCUUUAGGGUUUAGGCUCUCCUUAUAUAGUUGUCUUGAGGUCGGCCUGAAUCGGUUUGAGUAGGUUAAAUUCUUCCAUAUUCGGAAAUAUGGAAGGUUUUCCUUAUCGGAAGUUUUCUUUUUCCCGGAGGAAAGGGGUGGUCCGUGAGACCGGACCCGGAGUACUUCCUAGCGAGGACCAGAAGAAUCUCCUAGCGGGGACCCAGAGGCUGGUGUCCUGCCUGGGGUCUGGAAGAAUUCAAAUACCUGAGUAUUUUUCUCGAACACAAUUUAUAAAAGAUAAAAACCAACUUACUCCCCUUUCUUUGGUUUCUGUCCUUCUCAAUUUACUCCCCAUACUUUGAGGACUUUAAUAUCUAUCCAAGUACUUGGGGAACUUCAUGGAUUUUCCGUCGAGGUACACCCCGCAUUGGCCCGCCCCGCUGCGGUCUCUCUCUCCGGCGGUUCUUUGCGGGUAAGCCCGCCGUGACCCGCGGUACUUAAACCUCUGCCCAAACCCGCCCCGCUUACUACAUAGGACAUUGCGGGCUGGCCCGCGGGUAUGCAAAACAUGAUGUUUCAUUGGGGUGAGCUUGAGAAGAUGUUGUUGUUGUUGUUGUUGCACGGUGCAACUUGCUUCGGACGAGGAGAUGGAGAGUUCCAGUGGAAGCUCGAGGAAGGAGAGAAGCUCCAGUGGUGGUGGAAAGAAGAUGGAGAGAAGCUCUGAUGGUGGUCUUAGUCGAGGAGAAGAAGAAUCGGUUGGUGGUGCUGCUCCUCUGGUGCUCGUUGGUGGAGUCGUGCUGUAGAGAACCCUGAUCGCCAUUUUCGUCUCUUGACUCUUUUUUUUCAGGUGUAAAGACAGCAAAUGAGGAAGUGGUCGCGGGUUAUGUCGACCCCGCAAGACCCGCUGAGCCUAGACCGCAAAAGCCCAAACCCGCAUGACACUUACCCGCGAGACCCGCUUUUAAAUGGGCUUCGAUUACCUUUACCCAAAUCCGCCCCGCAUGGGUCUUGUACGGGCCAGGCCCGCGGGCUGCGGUCAAAAUGCCAUCUCUACACGAGAUUCUAUAUUCGUACUAUCUUUCCCUCUGGUGAACAAAGCAUGGUUUUAUCAUCUCCGAUCCCGCGAUGGCACUCCUUUAGUCGAGGAACCUUCGAGGGGUAUCAUGGGCAACUAUGCCUUCGGGGAUGGCUGGAAAAAUCUAUAUGUAUUCGUGAAGAUCCAGGAGCAUGUUGGUUAUCCCACGUCCUGGCGUACUGUCGGUAAGUUCUUCCGUUUGUUCGAACCUUGUGUUUCACCGUUCCUUUCGGGUUUUAUUUUUUAUUGACGCUUGGUUCUUGCUAUCAGAUGUGUCUCGUCCAGUUUUCUUUGCUGGAGAAGCGGUAGCAAAGCUUAUAAUAGGAGUUCCUCGGCGAUUUUGAUGGGUGACUUUUCUGGUGAGCAAAGAGGCCUUGCUGAGGGAACAUGGUGAGGCUCUCGGUGCCAGCUAUCUAUGAUGAGUACCAGAAGGCUAAAACACGGAAGAAGCACCCUUUUUUAUACUUCUCCGCCAAGAUUGGCAAGGGCUGCUUCAUUGGUUAACGGCUUAUCUUCCACCUCGUCAACAGGUGUUGAGGCCGUAUCUAAUGAUGACCCACUGGUGGGUGCUCACCGGAAGCUAAUUGGCGAGGUGUUCUUUCUCCGUAGUCAGGUGCAAAACAUGAUGACUCGCCGGGAUCUGUUGAUUCAGCAGGUGAAGGCGUCGUCCAGAUGGGAGCUCAUGAAGCAAUGGCUGGAGAAACAAGUGGGGCAUUGGGAUCCUGAAGAAGAGCAUCGCCGACAUCUGUUCCUGUCUGGGUCGCUACCCCGAGAUUUGUUGUGGGGUCGUGAUUUUUGGAGGAGCCUUCUUUCUGAAUGAUUCUUUUCUUCUUUUCUUUUUUUUUUUUGUUUCUGAAACUCUGGCUUUUGUUGAAUCUUCUUGUUUUCGGAUAAUGGCUCGUUGUAUUCCCCUUUGGUUUUUGGAAUAUCUGCUCUUCAUAAUUCUCUUUUUACGCACUCUUUCAUAUUGCUUUGCAUGCUCUGAUGGUAGUACUUCAAAUUUUUAAAAGGAUCUUCCCUGCAUGUUUCUCGGUUGAGAUGAGACUCGUAGUAUAUUAUCGCUCCUUACCCUCUUCGUAGGUUAGAUAAUAGGAUCCUGGAGAUUAUGCAGGGACCAGAAGAUCGUCUAGGAACCUGGAGGUUAUAGCUAGGACCUUAGAGAUGGGCUCUGAACCCGGAGGUUUCGAGCUUUCUAGAAUAUGGACUCUUAGAGUCUGGAAAUCGUUUUUGUAACCGGCGGUCGCGUAAGGACCCAUAGGUCAUCUGAAAAUCCAGAGGUUUAUCUAGACUACGAGAUCAUAUUUUUGGGACCCGGAGGUCGUAGGGGAACCCGUAGGUUCUUUGUUAGAUCUUGAGAUCAUAGUUGGAAUCCGGAGGCAGUACCGGCUCUGGCCUAAAGCUGGGGAAGCAGCUGCUUUAAGCGCUAAUCUAGACCAAAUAGUAAAGGGCGCCACAAUCUGUAAAAUAUGCAUGUAUUCCAGUGGUUGUACAUCAUUCUGUUGAGUGGUAGGUGCCGGGUUUGAGUAAGGAUGAGCGCCAAAACAUUUUUUGCUUUAGGCAGUAGUGUUUGUUGGCCCGGGCCUGUCCGGAGGUUCUUGAGAUCGUGAUUGGACCCUGAGGUCGUGUGAGAACUUAGGGUUUUCAUAUUACCCUGUUUUUUUUUUUGAAAAAAAAAUCCAUACUACCGUUCGAGAUGAUAAAGCAGAAGAAGAGUUAAUCCCUUAGCAAAGUAGUUUAUUCACCAAGUUCGUAUUUAUUUUUUUUCACAAUUAUGGUUCUCAUUUAACUUCUUUUUUUUUUUUUUUGAAAAAUCAGGUAAAGCUUGCUCAACAGGAGAGUUAUAACAUGUACCGUCAUUGAUCCCAUUGCUUGGCACAGUUAGGGAUGUGCUCAAGAUAUUUUUAUUGUAACAGUAGAACUAUAAAAUAAAUGUUAAGAAUUAAAUCGUCGAACUCUGAUUAUUAUUGUGUGACAGUAGCAAACUCGUUAAUAUCGGUGUCUCCCAAAGGUUGCAACGAUAUUUCAACAUGCCGUAAAAGUAAAGUGACUUUGUUCUCUAACUUAAAUUGUAAUGGUCUUUUUUUUUUGAGCAAGUUAAAUUGUAGUGGUCAUUUCUUCAAAUUGGCAACUUAACGUGUGCCCAAUUGCAAGUUUUCUCAUUUUAAAACCAUCCUAAAACAUAUUUAUGUAUGAAUUAUCCGAUUUUAAAUCCGUAACUGUAAUUUGAAAAUUAGAAAAAAAAAUUAUUUGGCAAAGGUCACAUUUAAACAAUAAUCAGAAAAUUUUAGUAAAAUUCGAAAGUGAUAAAUUUCUUCUAAAGAAAAUUAAAAUAUUUCUUUUCUUGUAAAUCGAAUAAAACUAUGAAAAUGUAAAUUUAAAGUUUAGUGAGACAAGAACACAGAAGCCGUUCAAUACUAUGUAGUAUGUAUAAUUCUCAUAGUUAAAAAAAUGAAGUAAUUGUUUCAAAA